AAUAAGGUUAUUUUUUAGUUUUUAUAUAUAAUAUUUUGAUUCUUCGUCUUAUUUAAAUUCUUUUUGCGAUUAAUAUUUUCAUUGCUACUAGAUGAUAAAAUAUAAAUAAUAUUUUAUGCAUGACUAAUUCUUUUAAGUUUUUGUAUGGAUUUUUAAAUAAGACAACCGGUCAAAAUAUUGGAUACAGAAAUC
rnacentral:pre_miRNA from 1 species